rnacentral:rRNA from 1 species
GUGAGGAAUUUUCCGCAAUGGGCGAAAGCCUGACGGAGCAAUGCCGCGUGAAGGAUGAAGGCCUAUGGGUUGUAAACUUCUUUUCUCAGAAAAGAAUUAUGACGGUAUCUGAGGAAUAAGCAUCGGCUAACUCUGUGCCAGCAGCCGCGGUAAGACAAAGGAUGCAAGCGUUAUCCGGAAUGAUUGGGCGUAAAGCGUCUGUAGGUUGUUUAAAAAGUAUUCUGUCAAAGAUUAGGGCUUAACCCUAGAUAGGCAGAAUAAACUUUUAAGCUAGAGUGUGGUAGAGGCAGAGGGAAUUCCCGGUGGAGCGGUGAAAUGCGUAGAUAUCGGGAGGAACACCAAAGGCGAAGGCACUCUGCUGGGCCAAUACUAACACUGAGAGACGAAAGCGAGGGGAGCAAAUGGGAUUAGAAACCCGUGUAGUCC